AAGUAAUUCAUUUUUAUUUUUUAAGAAACACCCCAAAAUAAAAAACCACUGACUCAUCCAUGCCAAACUGCACUUUCCAGAGGAAGCAUGUCAGCAGACUCAAACGGACAAUGGAUAGAAUCCCAUGACACCAAAGUCAUUCAAACCUGAUGCUUUAGAGGCUGACAUUCUGAGCUGAAAUAGCUACAGGUCACCACUUGGCCCCAUCUGGGACUCUCCCUUCUUUUUAGUCUAUUCAUGUGGUGGCAGAAGAUGUGAGACUCUUUCUAGUCUCCAGUCAGGGAGGCUUCUCCUGUUAUAGAAAAAUAUUAGAGUCUAGGCUUGACUUAGCGGUGGGUGAGCUAUAUUAAGAAUCACAUCCUGCUUCUUCAAAGUCUAGACGAUGUAUUUGUAGUUCUGGCUUCUCUCAGGGCUUGUGGAUCUCAGGGACCAGAGAGCUUUUAGUCCUUUUAUGGAUGGGUUCACUAUGACUCUUAAAAUCUUUUCUCAUUGAAAUUAGCCAGCAUAAUUUGACAGACACUCAGAAAAACACCCUAAUCAUAUUAGGCUGAAGGCCAGGUAUAGAGGUAAAUUCUUUAAAAGUUUGGGCUUCGGGAAGUAUAGGUUGAAGGUGAAAAUGGGAUAUGUUAAAAUGGGGAUAUUAAAAAUAUAUUUAAAACUGGGAGGCUAAUCUCUGGCAGAGCAGAACUCUUCUUUGAUUUGCCAAUCCCUGGCCUCUUCUUACUCCUUAUUUGUACUGACUCCAGGUUUUCCAUAGCAUGGAUGCCUGCCGCUGCUCUAAGCCUAAUAAGUUAUAGCACUCUACAGACUGAUCACCUAGACUGAAGACACGGAGGGAAACAUGUUUUGGCAAUUCCACCUGGCUCAAGGUAUAAGUAUGUAUUUUUAAUUUUCAGAGGAGAAAAAGCAUACAGAGGCAGUCUAGAACAAUCAUUGUCACCUUUCCAACUUCCGUGUUGAUGACAUCAAUAACAGAUGCAAAAGAAAUAAUUAAAAAUAAAGGAGAAAGAAUUUUCCAUGAUUCACCAAAGUAGUAGGAGUAUUCUGUCAGGAAAGCUUAGAAGCAUUUAUCAGCUGCUACCUAAAAUUUAGCAUUUAACUUUAAUUAUGCCUAGUUACGAAUUAAGCAAAACAGAAAGUGUUUUAACAUGACUAGCUGCUACAGAUCAAAAUAGUUUCACAGUAGAAAUUUUUAUUUUUUUAUUGUUCUUUUUUUGAUUAUGCAAUAAGCCCCCUUCUUAACAGAUUAAAUGUCACAAAAACUAAAAUGUAAUGACAUUAGCCAGCUAACCUGUCAGCCCCAACUCCCUUAAACACUGAGGAAUAAAGCAUACUAAUAUGGUCAUAAGUCAAACUUCCUCUGGGAAAGAAGAUUAAGGCUAGACUCUUUCAGAGCCCCUGGGGGACAGAAGCAGAAUUCUUACAUCAUAGUUAGGUUUUGGUGAUAUUCAUUUUUUUCAUUAUUAUCAAGGUAACUGUAUCUAACACUAGACCAGAAGAAAGUGUCCUUACAUAAUCCUUAUCUGAUUACCCUUUCCAAAAAGAAGACAUCAGAGACUGUGCAGGUCAACUUAAAAGAAGAGGCAAGCAUGCUCCUGGUUCAUGGAAGGAAAUGAGCUUCCAUUAUCUGCACAUGAUCAGCGGCCAUCAAAAUCUGUUAAUUCAGAACAAUAUGAAGACAUGGGCCUGCCCAUUUUAAGCUUACUUUCUAAUCUAAGCAGAAAUCAUGAUAGCACAUGAUGAAAGAGUACAUCAAUAACUCUGAGGGUAGAAGGUAGGAUAGAAUACAAGAGGAUGAGCGGUAUUAGGUGGAUUAGCCAAUUUUCCAUAUUGGAAGAAAAAAUGAGGCUGGGCACGGUGGCUCACGCCUAUAAUCUCAGCACUUUGAGAGGCUAAGGCGCAUAGAUCACUUGAGCCCAGGAGUUCAAGACCAGCUCAAGCAACAUGGUGAAACUCCCCCUCUACAGAUAUACAAAAAAUUAGCCAGGCAUGGUAGCACAUGACUGUAGUCCCAGUUACUUUGGAGGUUGAGGUGGGAGAAUCACCUGAGUCUGGGAGGUUGAGGCUGCAGUGAGACAAUACUAUGCCACUCCACUCCAGCCUGGACGACAGAGUGAGACUCUGUCUCAAAAAGUAAAAAUAAAGAAAAAGAAAAAAUGACUUGGAGAAUGAAACCAAAAUUCUAACCCAACUCUCACCAUGUCAGAAACAAUUUGGAAAUUCAAUUUUGUUAAUUU
rnacentral:lncRNA from 1 species